GAUGAACGCUGGCGGCGUGCCUAAUACAUGCAAGUCGAGCGAACAGAUGAGGAGCUUGCUCCUCUGACGUUAGCGGCGGACGGGUGAGUAACACGUGGAUAACCUACCUAUAAGACUGGGAUAACUUCGGGAAACCGGAGCUAAUACCGGAUAAUAUAUUGAACCGCAUGGUUCAAUAGUGAAAGACGGUUUUGCUGUCACUUAUAGAUGGAUCCGCGCCGCAUUAGCUAGUUGGUAAGGUAACGGCUUACCAAGGCAACGAUGCGUAGCCGACCUGAGAGGGUGACCGGCCACACUGGAACUGAGACACGGUCCAGACUCCUACGGGAGGCAGCAGUAGGGAAUCUUCCGCAAUGGGCGAAAGCCUGACGGAGCAACGCCGCGUGAGUGAUGAAGGUCUUCGGAUCGUAAAACUCUGUUAGUAGGGAAGAACAAAUGUGUAAGUAACUAUGCACGUCUUGACGGUACCUAAUCAGAAAGCCACGGCUAACUACGUG
rnacentral:rRNA from 1 species